GACGAACGCUGGCGGCGUGCUUAACACAUGCAAGUCGAGCGGUAAGGCCCUUUCGGGGGUACACGAGCGGCGAACGGGUGAGUAACACGUGGGUGACCUGCCUUUAGCUCUGGGAUAAGCCUGGGAAACUGGGUCUAAUACCGGAUAUGACCCUAUGGCGCAUGUUGUGGGGUGGAAAGCCUUGUGCGGCUAGGGAUGGGCCCGCGGCCUAUCAGCUUGUUGGUGGGGUGAUGGCCUACCAAGGCGACGACGGGUAGCCGGCCUGAGAGGGCGACCGGCCACACUGGGACUGAGACACGGCCCAGACUCCUACGGGAGGCAGCAGUGGGGAAUCUUGCGCAAUGGGCGAAAGCCUGACGCAGCGACGCCGCGUGAGGGAUGACGGCCUC
rnacentral:rRNA from 1 species